rnacentral:tRNA from 1 species
UGGGAUGUGGCUCAGUGGGUAGAAUGCUUGUCUAGCAUGCACAAAGCUCUGGGUUCCAUCCCCAGCAUCUCAU